rnacentral:rRNA from 1 species
AUUGAACGCUGGCGGCAUGCCUUACACAUGCAAGUCGAACGGUAACAGGUCUUCGGAUGCUGACGAGUGGCGAACGGGUGAGUAAUACAUCGGAACGUGCCUAGUAGUGGGGGAUAACUACUCGAAAGAGUGGCUAAUACCGCAUGAGAUCUACGGAUGAAAGCAGGGGAUCGCAAGACCUUGUGCUACUAGAGCGGCCGAUGGCAGAUUAGGUAGUUGGUGGGAUAAAAGCUUACCAAGCCGACGAUCUGUAGCUGGUCUGAGAGGACGAUCAGCCACACUGGGACUGAGACACGGCCCAGACUCCUACGGGAGGCAGCAGUGGGGAAUGUUGGACAAUGGGCGCAAGCCUGAUUCAGCAAUGCCGCGUGCAGGAUGAAGGCCUUCGGGUUGUAAACUGCUUUUGUACGGAACGAAAAGCCCCGGGUUAAUACCCUGGGGUCGUGACGGUACCGUAAGAAUAAGCACCGGCUAACUACGUGCCAGCCGCCGCUGUAA